UACAGAGGUGGCAAGCGUUGUUCGGAAUUACUGGGCGUAAAGGGCUCGUAGGCGGCCAACUAAGUCAGACGUGAAAUCCCUCGGCUUAACCGGGGAACUGCGUCUGAUACUGGAUGGCUCGAGAUUGGGAGAGGGAUGCGGAAUUCCAGGUGUAGCGGUGAAAUGCGUAGAUAUCUGGAGGAACACCGGUGGCGAAGGCGGCAUCCUGGACCAACACUGACGCUGAGGAGCGAAAGCCAGGGGAGCAAACGGG
rnacentral:rRNA from 1 species